GAAUUCUCCCUCUCUGUGGUAUGGCAGAACUAGGCUCCUGCUUUCCCUUGGCUUGAUGAUUUUGCCUUUUUGUGAUAGGAUUUCAGCUAAUGCUGCAAUGCUUUCAUGUUAGAUGGAGUGAAAAGAGGGUGCGCAUGGCCAAGCUUUUGUAGCUGGAGUGGCUGCAGAGAUGGCUUCUGUGGAAGGCUGCCAGAAUCUUCCUUCAUGGAACAGCUCUGCAGACAAAGGCUUUUAAACUCCUGCUAUGAGGACUGCAACUGCAAGGAGCAAAAUGCAGAAUGAAAAUCUGCAGAGAGUAACACAACAAACUACCACCACCACAUUUACCAGCUUGUUGCAUACGUAAUAUUAAUAUUUCUGCUAUUAGGAGUAAAAGUAAAUGCAUGUUAAUAUAUAUCAAA